rnacentral:rRNA from 1 species
AUUGAACGCUGGCGGCAUGCCUUACACAUGCAAGUCGAGCGGCAGCACGGGGGCAACCCUGGUGGCGAGUGGCGAACGGGUGAGUAAUGCAUCGGAACGUGCCCAGUAGUGGGGGACAACCAGUCGAAAGAUUGGCUAAUACCGCAUACGACCUAUGGGUGAAAGCGGGGGACCGUAAGGCCUCGCGCUAUUGGAGCGGCCGAUGUCUGAUUAGCUAGUUGGUGAGGUAAAAGCUCACCAAGGCGACGAUCAGUAGCUGGUCUGAGAGGACGACCAGCCACACUGGGACGGAGACACGGCCCAGACUCCUACGGGAGGCAGCAGUGGGGAAUUUUGGGCAAUGGGCGCAAGCCUGAUCCAGCCAUGCCGCGUGCGGGAAGAAGGCCUUCGGGUUGUAAACCGCUUUUGGCAGGAACGAAACGGCGACUUCUAAUACGAGUCGUUAAUGACGGUACCUGCAGAAUAAGCACCGGCUAACUACGUGCCAGCAGCCGCCGUAAUAC